rnacentral:rRNA from 1 species
UACGUAGGGGGCAAGCGUUGUCCGGAAUCAUUGGGCGUAAAGCGCGCGUAGGCGGCCCUGUAAGUCCGUUGUGAAAGUCAAAGGCUCAACCUUUGAAAGCCGAUGGAUACUGCAGGGCUAGAGUCCGGAAGAGGCGAGUGGAAUUCCUGGUGUAGCGGUGAAAUGCGUAGAUAUCGGAAGGAACAUCAGUGGCGAAAGCGACUUCCUGGACCAGUACCGACGUUCAGGCACGAAAGCGUGGGGAGCAAACAGG